AGUGAACGCUGGCGGUAGGCCUAACACAUGCAAGUCGAACGGCAGCACAGAGGAGCUUGCUCCUUGGGUGGCGAGUGGCGGACGGGUGGGGAAUACAUCGGAAUCUACUCUGUCGUGGGGGAUAACGUAGGGAAACUUACGCUAAUACCGCAUACGACCUACGGGUGAAAGCAGGGGAUCUUCGGACCUUGCGCGAUUGAAUGAGCCGAUGUCGGAUUAGCUAGUUGGCGGGGUAAAGGCCCACCAAGGCGACGAUCCGUAGCUGGUCUGAGAGGAUGGUCAGCCACACUGGAACUGAGACACGGUCCAGACUCCUACGGGAGGCAGCAGUGGGGAAUAUUGGACAAUGGGCGCAAGCCUGAUCCAGCCAUACCGCGUGGGUGAAGAAGGCCUUCGGGUUGUAAAGCCCUUUUGUUGGGAAAGAAAUCCAUCUGGUUAAUACCCGGGUGGGAUGACGGUACCCAAAGAAUAAGCACCGGCUAACUUCGUGCCAGCCGCCGCGGUAA
rnacentral:rRNA from 1 species